rnacentral:rRNA from 1 species
AUGGAGAUGGAGGCCGGCUCUACGAGUGACACAGUGGCAGGCAGGUUCUCGCUGCCGGUGGACUCGGAGAACAAAGCCAAGUCCAUCAAGAUCUUCUCGUUCGGCAACCCUCAUAUGCGUGCCUUCCAUCUUGGAUGGAUGUCCUUCUUCACCUGUGUCGUCUCCACCUUCGCCGCCGCACCACUCAUCCCCAUCAUCCGCGACAACCUCAACCUCACCAAGGCCGACAUCGGCAAUGCCGGGGUUGCCUCUGUCUCCGGUGCCAUCUUCUCCAGGCUAGCCAUGGGUGCCAUCUGUGACCUUCUUGGCCCACGCUAUGGCUGUGCCUUCCUUGUCAUGCUCUCUGCACCGGCAGUAUUCUGCAUGUCCAUCAUCGAUGGUCCUGCUGGAUACAUUACUAUCCGCUUCCUCAUCGGUGUGUCGCUUGCCACCUUCGUGUCAUGCCAAUACUGGGUGAGCACCAUGUUCAAUAGCAAGAUCAUUGGGACGGUCGGCGGCUUGACGGCGGGAUGGGGCGACAUGGGCGGCGGCGCCACACAACUCAUCAUGCCUCUUGUCUUUGAUGCUAUCAUCGCAUGUGACGCAACACCUUUCACGGCAUGGCGUAUUGCCUACUUUGUGCCAGGGUUGAUGCUGGUGGUGAUGGGCUUGCUCGUGCUCACCAUGGGGCAGGACCUUCCUGACGGGAACCUGAGGAGUCUCCAGAAGAAUGGCGAUAUGAACAAGGACAAGUUCUCAAACGUUCUUCGGGGUGCCGUCACCAACUACCGCACUUGGAUCUUCGUCUUCAUCUACGGCUAUUGCAUGGGCGUCGAGCUCACCACCAACAACGUAAUCGCUGAAUACUACUACGAUAGCUUCCACCUUGACCUUCGUGCUGCCGGCACCAUUGCUGCAUGCUUUGGCUUGGUAAACAUAUUCGCUCGGCCUAUGGGUGGCUAUCUCUCUGACCUUGGUGCCCGUUACUUCGGCAUGCGUGCUCGCCUCUGGAACAUCUGGAUCCUCCAGACCGCAGGUGGAGCCUUCUGCUUAUGCCUGGGACGUGCAUCCGCCCUCCCCACCUCCAUCACAUGCAUGGUCCUCUACUCCAUUUGUAUUGAGGCGGCAUGCGGUGCUGUCUAUGGAGUCAUCCCAUUCGUUUCUCGACGCUCCCUCGGUCUCAUCUCCGGCAUGAGCGGAGCGGGCGGUAACGUGGGAGGUGGGCUCACACAAUUCCUCUUCUUCACGUCGUCGCAGUACUCCACUGGCAAAGGAUUACAAUACAUGGGCAUCAUGGUCAUGGCGUGUACUCUCCCUGUUGCGCUCGUUCACUUCCCACAGUGGGGCUCCAUGCUCCUACCGCCCAGCGCCAAUGCCACCGAGGAGGACUACUACGGUGCGGAAUGGACGGAGGAGGAGAAAAACAAGGGACUCCACAUCACUAGCCUAAAGUUUGCCGAGAACAGCAUCUCUGAGCGUGGCAGGCGUAACGCCAUCCUCGCCGCACCCGUCACCCCACCUAACAACACACCACAACACGUAUGA